AGAACGAACGCUGGCGGCAGGCCUCAAACAUGCAAGUCUAGGGGGUGUAGCAAUACAUCACCGGCGGACGGGUGCGUAACACGUGGGAAUAUACCUUUUGGUUCGGAACAACGCAGGGAAACUUGCGCUAAUACCGAAUGUGCCCUUACGGGGAAAGAUUUAUCGCCAAAGGAUUAGCCCGCGUAGGAUUAGCUAGUUGGUGAGGUAAUGGCUCACCAAGGCUCCGAUCCUUAGCUGUUCUGAGAGGAAGAUCAGCCACACUGGGACUGAGACACGGCCCAGACUCCUACGGGAGGCAGCAGUUGGGAAUCUUGGACAUGGGGGAACCCUGAUCCAGCCAUGCCGCGUGAGUGAUGAAGGCCUUCGGGUUGUAAAACUCUUUCGACGGGGACGAUAAUGACGGUACCCGUAGAAGAAGCUCCGGCUAACUUCGCGCCAGCAGCCGC
rnacentral:rRNA from 1 species